UUAACCGUGCCCUAAGCCUUCCUCCGCCUAUUACCCCUUUUCCCUCAUUCCCGAUCUCCUCCUCCCCUCUCCUCUUCACGCUACCGCGACCACUCUCUCCCCACCCGAUUGUCGCCGGUGAAGUCCUCAACCGGUAACAUUCUCGCGACUUCGAAGCUGCAGCACCUCCUCCUUCCUCGCGAUGCCAACUGACUAGCUCUCCCCAUCUCACCUAUUCUGUGCCCUAGCCCUUUUCUUUGCGUCGCCAUCGAUCACCACAGCCGGAGCACCGACCGCUUGUGAGCUCACCGCCGACAGCGGUCUUCUCCUCCAGAGUGUCUCAUCACCAUCUGCCGCUUCUAAUUUGUUCCUCGUGCCCUAGUUUUGACAUUGUCGCCCUUUCGUGGAGUCCAGAAUGGCGACGUUACAAGUCGCCCUCUUUGGUCAUGCCAUCUCCUCUUCCCCUCUUCGUCGUGCCCUAACCUCCGCAGUUCCUCGCUAAUGACUCCUCUCGUGGCUUCAAAACAUGUUGCUGCCGUGACCCCGACGCCACUGUCGGAGUUGCAACCACCCUCUCCUCCUGGCUUCUUCGCAAGGUACAGCACAACCAACCCACCGGCCGCUACAAGGGCUAGCCAGUAAGCACCGAGCUUCCUCUCGUGUUUCUGCCCUAGACCUCAGAGCCAUCGCCGACCACUUGCUGUUGUGAGCCACUGCUGGGGCAAUGAACAUCCACCAUGAGAAGUUGUGGGGUAAUAGGUAGAUGAGUUAUGGAUGCUUGGAGAGUCCCGACUGUCAGUUCCACAUCACGCUCUAGGAUAGUCUUCUUUUUGGUUUUGUUACUAUUUGGGUGAUAUGUUGAUUUUGCAUAUUUUGUUUUCCAAUAAGUCGAUGUGGAUUUUGGAGUCUAGUCUGGUGGUUGCAGGUAUUUUAGUUAGUGACUUUGUUGGUCUUACAUUCGUAUUAUUUUAUGAUUUUUUGUUACGUUUA